ACACACACACACACACACACACGCACACACACACACAAACAAAGAGGCGUUAGGCUGAGACGCUGAAAGUCCGGAUUUAAAGUGCAGAAAAUGAAGCCAUUGAAUCUGCCUGUCCAUGACGUACAAAGACACACUAUGAGCCAGUAUGAUCCGACCAGACCUUACAUCAGCAUUGAGGAGUUGUCGGAGAAGAAAGAGGCUGAUUGAAGCGGGACAGAUGACAUGGAUCCAUCCUUCCACAGCCAGGAGUGCACCGACCUGUGUCCCACACUUCAUAUAAGACUGGAAGCUACACUGAUCUCACAGCUACACACCACAGACGUCUACACACUGGAGAAGAGUCCCACAAAGAAGUCAUGACCCAGAGGCUGCAGAGAAAGAUUUCAAGCCUCAUCUGAGUUUUUGUACAAUAUUUUUGCUGUAUGUAAAUAAAGCUUUCACUCCACAUA